UACGUAGGGGGCGAGCGUUGUCCGGAUUCAUUGGGCGUAAAGAGCUCGUAGGCGGUUUGGUAAGUCGGGUGUGAAAACCCGCAGCUCAACUGUGGGCUUGCAGCUGAUACGGGCAGGCUUGAGUUCGGUAGGGGAGACUGGAAUUCCUGGUGUAGCGGUGAAAUGCGUAGAUAUCGGAAGGAACAUCAGUGGCGAAAGCGACUUCCUGGACCAGUACCGACGUCAGGCACGAAAGCGUGGGGAGCAAACAG
rnacentral:rRNA from 1 species